CUCCCUGGGCCCUAAGUGAGACGGUCCUGCUAGUCAUUCCUCAAAUAUUUAUUGCAUGCCUAUGAUGUGUCAAAUUCUGUGUACUUUACUGGGAAAAGGCUCAAUCCUUUAGUAAAUAAGGGGUUUGUUUAUGGAUUGUGGUGUUUAACAUGACAUGAGGCAAUGGACUUGGCAGAUACCUCCUUGAAAGUAUCCCUGUUCCUGAAAUUUAGCAAGUGAAUUCUGCCGCCUUCACUGCUACUUCUUACAUCUGGAAUGUCUUUCUUCCCUGUUCAACUGCGCCCUCAAUUAACUUUCACUUUGUUUGGAAUGACUGUACAAAGAAGCUCUUUGAGACAACAGGACUAGCUUUGGAGGAUGGAUGCAGUUACACAAGGCCCUGUGUUUAGAAGAGCUUCUCAGCUAAUGCUUUGCUGUCAUUGUCUUGAAAUCUUAAUUUUUGAACAAGAGGCUAUGGGCCUGGUGGGCAUAGACUGGUUUCUUGAAAAUUAAACCUGACAAUUUCUCAGAAAACCCACUAAAAAAGAAAGAGGACUUGGAAAUGCCAUGAUUCAGGUGUUUACCCAACUGGUUCUGAACACUUGGGUCUCCUUAUCAGCAAGCCACAUCAUUCAAAUGUUUUCCCAGAGUGAUGCUGAGCCAUCUACAAUAGACCACAUGACUCUCCAGAAGCAAAACCAAGGAAUAAGAACAGACAUCUGGGAGUAAGGGUGCUCUCCAGUGUACAGUCUCAGCACUGCCUAAGGCUCCUUAUACCACUGAGAUUCCAUCAACCUGGGAAAUCACUGCAAUCCUCAGGAUGACCUACAAAUCAUCCAGCCUUCUCUAUUUUGACUAAAGAAAUAUUUCAGGGUUCUCUUUAAAAGGCAAUGUAUAUAAAUAUAUAUAUAUUUCUCUAUUGAAUUAGCUUAAUUUACUAGAGUGUAAAACAUUAGAUUCAUAUGCCUCAUCUUUUUAUGGUGAUAAUUAAAAAGUCAUAGAUAUUUUUCCAUUUUCUGAAAUGUAUAAAUGAAUAUAUGAAAUAUCUUAUUUCCAAAAACUUAAAUCAUUUCAUGAUAUGGCUAAGUUUUUAGGGAUGUUUCUUUUCCAGAUUGAUUGUCUGUCAUUAGUAGUGAAGAACAAACAAGUCUUGCCUUGUGAAAUUCCAACAUCUUAAAGUCUGGAUAAAGUGUCAUUGUUUGGAGAUUCUUUUUUUUAUACCUAAAUUGCUUUAAAAAUCAAACUCUCCUGGCAGUUAAAAAUAUUGUAUAUGUAAAAAUUCUAUAUAUACACAAUCAUGUAAGUUGUGUAAAUGAGGCGGAACUGACAGGAUAUCUCACUUUAUGGAAUCUUCUCAUGGAAUGUCAAUUAUUUUUCACAUCAAUAUUUUAAAUGUCAUCUAACAGAUUAAAAUAAAUCAAUGUGCAUUUUGAGUAGUGGAAGUGACAGGAAAGGGAAAGAACAAAAUCUAGUGAGCUCAAAAUUGUGUCAUAAGAUACUUUUAUAACUGUAUGUUUUCAUAGCUCUUGAAGCUUCUUGGUUCUCAUAUUCAUCAAGACCCUGAGACAAUAACAUUAAAUCAGGUCAAGAGGUGUAUACAGUAUGUGUAUAAGAGAAUGGCAUAUGGCUUAACUUCCUGACAAAUGCAUCUGUGUGUAAAUACUUCUUAUGAGUUCAUAUUAAUUUGUAUUACUGUGUUUGCAUAAAGUUUGCACCUUGGUCUUUAUGUAAGUUUUAUAUUCCCCACAGCAUUUAGCAAGCACAUAAUAAAUGCUUAUAGUUCAUGGGUGAAAAAGAUGAACUUUGCUGCUUCAGUUUCCCAUGUCUCAAAGUCAUUCUUUGCUUCUCACCACCAGGCCUACCCCUUAUUGUAGUGUCUUCCUCUGAGUUGGGUGCAUCUUGGUCGCUGCUCAUACUCAGGACCAGAACCUUAUUUUGCUCUACAAGGCAGAUCCAUCCUUUGGCUUGCCAAUAUGGCAUGUGUGCCUUCUGUUACUGCUACCAUUGCUUCUUCUCUCCACCUCUGAGUGCCAUCAUAAGUAUGGGAUAAUAAGACCAUUAGAGGAAUAAACACAAUUUGUGUACUUUUUCCCUUCUUUGUUGGCAUGGAUAAUAAAAUGAACUUGAACUCUCACCUAAGACUGACUAAACCACUAAAAACCAAAGUGAUAACAUGAGAAUGAACAAAUCCAGCCCAGAGAGGUGUAUUUCCAGUGUGGAACAGUUUGGAACCAAGUGUGAAUAUCCAGAGGCAGUGCUUCCAACAUAUGCACAUGAAGUGGAGGAUGGAGGAAGGGUUAUAGGAUGCAAGAAUUGUUGAGGAAUCUUCCUGAGGUCAAAAAAUGUUCCCAGGUGUUCUUUGUUUGAAGAAAAGACUCUUUUCUCACUAAUGGUUUUAUAUAUAAUGUCUCCAUUGUGGAUGUGGACCUACUUUUAAAACAGCAUAUUUUUAUAUCCAUUAUCCUUCAAGAUAAUUUUUACCUGCAGAUAUGACCAAGAAUUUAUAACAAGUAAGAGACCAGUUGACUCUCAAAUAACAUGCUCAUCUAGUCUCUGAAUAUCUUACUUCUAUUUGGAUUUCAUCAGCCAAGUAGCAGUGUCUUAAAACUGGCAAUGUAGCUGCAAUUCUGUUGAACAUAUAUUUCUAUAGAAAAUAUUAUGAAUUCAAAAAUGACAUGUAGAGGUGACUGUCAAUUUAUCUUUUCUUUGAAUGUAAUGUGUAUUUGUUGCUGUGUUUUAGAAAUACCUAAGGAGGCAGGCUAAUAUAACCAGCAAUAGCAUUUAUUGAAUUCUUUGUCAUAAGAACUGAAGGGUUACUAUUAUGUUCAUUUUAUAGAUAUAUCCAUUUAAAUACAAUAAACAUUUAGUAAGUUUGCUAAAUGCUGGCAGUGAUACCAGAUGAAUAAAAUGUGACUCUUACUGACUGGUGCACAUUGAUGGAGGGAACCCUGUAACAUCCAGUGUCUGUAUGG